UACAGAGGUCCCAAGCGUUGUUCGGAUUCAUUGGGCGUAAAGGGUGCGUAGGUGGCGCCGUAAGUGGGGUGUGAAAUUUCGGAGCUUAACUCCGAAACUGCAUUCCAUACUGCGGUGCUUGAGGACUGGAGAGGAGACUGGAAUUCAUGGUGUAGCAGUGAAAUGCGUAGAUAUCGAGAGGAACACCUGCGGCGAAGGCGGGUAGCUGGGCCGACACUGACGCUGAGGCGCGAAAGCCAGGGGAGCGAACGGG
rnacentral:rRNA from 1 species